AUCAAGUGUGGUGCUGCACACCUGUAGUCCCAGCUACUAUAGAGCUAAGGUGGGAGGAUCACUUGAGCCCAGGAGUUCUGGGCUGGAGUGAGCUAUGCUGAUGUGGGUGUCCACACUAAGUUUGGCAUCAAAUAUGGCAGCCUCUUGGGAGUAGGGGGAACACCAGGUUACCUAAGGAGGAGUGAACCAGCCCAGAUCAGAAACAGAGGAGGUCAGAACUCCCAUGCUGAUUAGCAGUGGGGGUGGCGCCUGUGAAUAGCCACUGCACUCCAGCCUGGGGAAUAUAAUGAGAUCCUGUCUCUU
ensembl:misc_RNA Metazoa_SRP Metazoan signal recognition particle RNA